CUACGGGACGCUGCAGUAGGGAAUAUUGCGCAAUGGGGGAAACCCUGACGCAGCGACGCCGCGUGGGCGAUGAAGGCUUUCGAGUCGUAAAGCCCUGUCAGAGGGGAAGAAAAACAUGAGAACGAACAAUUCUCAUGCUUGACGGUACCCUCGGAGGAAGCACCGGCUAGCUACGUGCCAGCAGCCGCGGUAAUACGUAGGGUGCUAGCGUUGUUCGGAAUCAUUGGGCGUAAAGAGCGUGUAGGCGGCUAGUUAAGUCGGAUGUGAAAUCCCUGGGCUCAACCGAGGAAGUGCAUUCGAAACUGAUUAGCUAGAGAGUGGUAGAGGGAGGUGGAAUUCCGUGUGUAGAGGUGAAAUUCGUAGAUAUACGGAGGAAUACCGGUGGCGAAGGCGGCCUCCUGGGCCAUUUCUGACGCUGAGACGCGAAAGCGUGGGGAGCAAACAGGAUUAGAUACCCGCGUAGUC
rnacentral:rRNA from 1 species